rnacentral:rRNA from 1 species
GGGUUGUGAGGUUAAGCGACUAAGCGUACACGGUGGAUGCCCUGGCAGUCAGAGGCGAUGAAGGACGUGCUAAUCUGCGAUAAGCGUCGGUAAGGUGAUAUGAACCGUUAUAACCGGCGAUUUCCGAAUGGGGAAACCCAGUGUGUUUCGACACACUAUCAUUAACUGAAUCCAUAGGUUAAUGAGGCGAACCGGGGGAACUGAAACAUCUAAGUACCCCGAGGAAAAGAAAUCAACCGAGAUUCCCCCAGUAGCGGCGAGCGAACGGGGAGCAGCCCAGAGCCUGAAUCAGUAUGUGUGUUAGUGGAAGCGUCUGGAAAGGCGCGCGAUACAGGGUGACAGCCCCGUACACAAAAAUGCACAUAUUGUGAGCUCGAUGAGUAGGGCGGGACACGUGGUAUCCUGUCUGAAUAUGGGGGGACCAUCCUCCAAGGCUAAAUACUCCUGACUGACCGAUAGUGAACCAGUACCGUGAGGGAAAGGCGAAAAGAACCCCGGCGAGGGGAGUGAAAAAGAACCUGAAACCGUGUACGUACAAGCAGUGGGAGCACGCUUAGGCGUGUGACUGCGUACCUUUUGUAUAAUGGGUCAGCGACUUAUAUUCUGUAGCAAGGUUAACCGAAUAGGGGAGCCGAAGGGAAACCGAGUCUUAACUGGGCGUUAAGUUGCAGGGUAUAGACCCGAAACCCGGUGAUCUAGCCAUGGGCAGGUUGAAGGUUGGGUAACACUAACUGGAGGACCGAACCGACUAAUGUUGAAAAAUUAGCGGAUGACUUGUGGCUGGGGGUGAAAGGCCAAUCAAACCGGGAGAUAGCUGGUUCUCCCCGAAAGCUAUUUAGGUAGCGCCUCGUGAAUUCAUCUCCGGGGGUAGAGCACUGUUUCGGCAAGGGGGUCAUCCCGACUUACCAACCCGAUGCAAACUGCGAAUACCGGAGAAUGUUAUCACGGGAGACACACGGCGGGUGCUAACGUCCGUCGUGAAGAGGGAAACAACCCAGACCGCCAGCUAAGGUCCCAAAGUCAUGGUUAAGUGGGAAACGAUGUGGGAAGGCCCAGACAGCCGAGGAUGUUGGCUUAGAAGCAGCCAUCAUUUAAAGAAAGCGUAAUAGCUCACUGGUCGAGUCGGCCUGCGCGGAAGAUGUAACGGGCUAAACCAUGCACCGAAGCUGCGGCAGCGACGCUGAUGCGUUGUUGGGUAGGGGAGCGUUCUGUAAGCCUGCGAAGGUGUGCUGUGAGGCAUGCUGGAGGUAUCAGAAGUGCGAAUGCUGACAUAAGUAACGAUAAAGCGGGUGAAAAGCCCGCUCGCCGGAAGACCAAGGGUUCCUGUCCAACGUUAAUCGGGGCAGGGUGAGUCGACCCCUAAGGCGAGGCCGAAAGGCGUAGUCGAUGGGAAACAGGUUAAUAUUCCUGUACUUGGUGUUACUGCGAAGGGGGGACGGAGAAGGCUAUGUUGGCCGGGCGACGGUUGUCCCGGUUUAAGCGUGUAGGCUGGUUUUCCAGGCAAAUCCGGAAAAUCAAGGCUGAGGCGUGAUGACGAGGCACUACGGUGCUGAAGCAACAAAUGCCCUGCUUCCAGGAAAAGCCUCUAAGCAUCAGGUAACAUCAAAUCGUACCCCAAACCGACACAGGUGGUCAGGUAGAGAAUACCAAGGCGCUUGAGAGAACUCGGGUGAAGGAACUAGGCAAAAUGGUGCCGUAACUUCGGGAGAAGGCACGCUGAUAUGUAGGUGAAGUCCCUCGCGGAUGGAGCUGAAAUCAGUCGAAGAUACCAGCUGGCUGCAACUGUUUAUUAAAAACACAGCACUGUGCAAACACGAAAGUGGACGUAUACGGUGUGACGCCUGCCCGGUGCCGGAAGGUUAAUUGAUGGGGUUAGCCGCAAGGCGAAGCUCUUGAUCGAAGCCCCGGUAAACGGCGGCCGUAACUAUAACGGUCCUAAGGUAGCGAAAUUCCUUGUCGGGUAAGUUCCGACCUGCACGAAUGGCGUAAUGAUGGCCAGGCUGUCUCCACCCGAGACUCAGUGAAAUUGAACUCGCUGUGAAGAUGCAGUGUACCCGCGGCAAGACGGAAAGACCCCGUGAACCUUUACUAUAGCUUGACACUGAACAUUGAGCCUUGAUGUGUAGGAUAGGUGGGAGGCUUAGAAGUGUGGACGCCAGUCUGCAUGGAGCCGACCUUGAAAUACCACCCUUUAAUGUUUGAUGUUCUAACGUUGACCCGUAAUCCGGGUUGCGGACAGUGUCUGGUGGGUAGUUUGACUGGGGCGGUCUCCUCCUAAAGAGUAACGGAGGAGCACGAAGGUUGGCUAAUCCUGGUCGGACAUCAGGAGGUUAGUGCAAUGGCAUAAGCCAGCUUGACUGCGAGCGUGACGGCGCGAGCAGGUGCGAAAGCAGGUCAUAGUGAUCCGGUGGUUCUGAAUGGAAGGGCCAUCGCUCAACGGAUAAAAGGUACUCCGGGGAUAACAGGCUGAUACCGCCCAAGAGUUCAUAUCGACGGCGGUGUUUGGCACCUCGAUGUCGGCUCAUCACAUCCUGGGGCUGAAGUAGGUCCCAAGGGUAUGGCUGUUCGCCAUUUAAAGUGGUACGCGAGCUGGGUUUAGAACGUCGUGAGACAGUUCGGUCCCUAUCUGCCGUGGGCGCUGGAGAACUGAGGGGGGCUGCUCCUAGUACGAGAGGACCGGAGUGGACGCAUCACUGGUGUUCGGGUUGUCAUGCCAAUGGCACUGCCCGGUAGCUAAAUGCGGAAGAGAUAAGUGCUGAAAGCAUCUAAGCACGAAACUUGCCCCGAGAUGAGUUCUCCCUGACUCCUUGAGAGUCCUGAAGGAACGUUGAAGACGACGACGUUGAUAGGCCGGGUGUGUAAGCGCAGCGAUGCGUUGAGCUAACCGGUACUAAUGAACCGUGAGGCUUAACCUUACAACGCCGAAGCUGUU